rnacentral:rRNA from 1 species
GAUGAACGCUGGCGGCGUGCCUAAUACAUGCAAGUCGAGCGAACAGAUGAGGAGCUUGCUCCUCUGACGUUAGCGGCGGACGGGUGAGUAACACGUGGAUAACCUACCUAUAAGACUGGGAUAACUUCGGGAAACCGGAGCUAAUACCGGAUAAUAUAUUGAACCGCAUGGUUCAAUAGUGAAAGACGGUUUUGCUGUCACUUAUAGAUGGAUCCGCGCCGCAUUAGCUAGUUGGUAAGGUAACGGCUUACCAAGGCGACGAUGCGUAGCCGACCUGAGAGGGUGAGCGGCCACAGUGGGACUUAGCCACGGACCAGAAUACGACGGGAGGCAGCAGUAGGGAAUCUUGCGCAAUGGGCGACAGCUUGACGGAGCAACGCCGCGUGAGUGAUGAAUGUCUUAGUAUCGUAAAACUCUGUGAGUAUGCAAGAACAAAUGUGCAAGGUACUAUGCACGUAUUGACCGUACCUAAUCAGAGAGCCACGGCUAACUACGUG